CGGCCCCGGCUGGCGGCCCACGGGCUAUAGCCCGAGGAAACUCCGCCCUCCCCGCGGCAGCCAGGCCCCGUGAGGGGCGCGGGUGAAACCCGCGGCAACGGCACAGAAACGACACGACCCCUAGUCAAUGAGGAUGAAGCUGCGAGGCCCCCUAGGCAACUAGGGGGCAGAAAACCAGCGGACAAGGCUAGGGGAUGCGGUGAAACGGCCGCCCCUGGCGGAGCAAGGCCCUACCCGAUGAGGGCCGCGCGAAGGGUGGGGGAACCGCUGAGUCGAAUGCCGCCGUAGUACAGAAGGCGGGUUAUAGCCGGGGCCG
rnacentral:RNase_P_RNA from 1 species